GGGGAAUCUUGGACAAUGGGCGCAAGCCUGAUCCAGCCAUGCCGCGUGAGUGAAGAAGGUCUUCGGAUUGUAAAGCUCUUUUGCCAGGGACGAUAAUGACGGUACCUGGAGAAUAAGCCCCGGCAAACUUCGUGCCAGCAGCCGCGGUAAUACGAAGGGGGCUAGCGUUGUUCGGAUUUACUGGGCGUAAAGCGAACGUAGGCGGAUUGUUAAGUCGGGGGUGAAAUCCUGGAGCUCAACUCCAGAAUUGCCUUCGAUACUGGCUUUCUCGAGGCCGGAAGAGGUGAGUGGAAUUCCCAGUGUAGAGGUGAAAUUCGUAGAUAUUGGGAAGAACACCAGUGGCGAAGGCGGCUCACUGGUCCGGAUCUGACGCUGAGGUGCGAAAGCGUGGGGAGCAAA
rnacentral:rRNA from 1 species